rnacentral:lncRNA from 1 species
UAUGGUAUGAUGAACAGGUCUUUGUGGUUUGAAAUGUGAAUAAAGUUUUGAUCAAACUAGUUGAUGGCAGAAGAAAAACCAGUCUCAAUGCUUUAAUGGACCUAAUAAUGUGCUCAAACUAUAAAUUGUUAUAUAUUUUUUUCUUAUAUCGUUUUUAGCACUUAUUUGCUCAUAUUUAUCAGAAAAAUAAUCUUUGUAUGUUAUAUUCACUGCAAUCUUUAGUUACGCAACGUAAGUACAUGUAAGUAAGUAUUCAUUUAGAUUCACUUGACGAUCAAUCUGUGUAAAAAAGUAUAUCAAAAUUAGUCCUUUAUUCAUUUAUCAACUGUGAAAAUAUCUGAUUUUGAAAAAAAAUAUUGCUGAGUGUUUUUUAAGAUUCAUCUUUUCCCAAUUACAUGAUGACAGCUCUCCUCUUUUCUCUCACAUCUCUCGUAACUUUUCAACAAACAUUUUGUUUUCCUUGCCCAUUUUAACACUCGGUAAAUAAAAG